rnacentral:rRNA from 1 species
GAGUUUGAUCCUGGUUCAGGACGAACGCUGGCGGCGUGCCUAAUACAUGCAAGUCGAGCGAGCCGAACUAAUUGAUUACCUUCGGGUAUGAAGUUAGGGAAGCGAGCGGCGGAUGGGUGAGUAACACGUGGGUAACCUACCCUAUAGUCUGGGAUACCACUUGGAAACAGGUGCUAAUACCGGAUAAAAGGAGAGAUCACAUGAUUUCUUUUUGAAAGGCGGCGUAAGCUGUCGCUAAAGGAUGGACCCGCGGUGCAUUAGCUAGUUGGUAAGGUAACGGCUUACCAAGGCAACGAUGCAUAGCCGAGUUGAGAGACUGAUCGGCCACAUUGGGACUGAGACACGGCCCAAACUCCUACGGGAGGCAGCAGUAGGGAAUCUUCCACAAUGGACGCAAGUCUGAUGGAGCAACGCCGCGUGAGUGAAGAAGGUUUUCGGAUCGUAAAGCUCUGUUGUUGGUGAAGAAAGAUAGUGAGAGUAACUGCUCAUUAUUUGCCGGUAAUCAACCAGAAAGUCACGGCUAACUACGUGCCAGCAGCCGCGGUAAUACGUAGGUGGCAAGCGUUGUCCGGAUUUAUUGGGCGUAAAGCGAGCGCAGGCGGAAAGAUAAGUCAGAUGUGAAAGCCCUCGGCUUAACCGAGGAAUAGCAUCGGAA